rnacentral:tRNA from 1 species
GGGGGAGUGUGACUCAAUGAUAGAGCAUCUGCUUUGCACGCAGAAGAUCCCAGGUUCAAUCCUCAACUUCUCCA